CCUACGGGAGGCAGCAGUGGGGAAUAUUGGGCAAUGGAGGAAACUCUGACCCAGCAACGCCGCGUGAAUGAUGAAGGUCUUCGGAUUGUAAAGUUCUUUUCUAAGGGAAGAAGAAAGUGACGGUACCUUAGGAAUAAGCCUCGGCUAACUACGUGCCAGCAGCCGCGGUAAUACGUAGGGGGCAAGCGUUAUCCGGAUUUAUUGGGUUUAAAGGGUGCGUAGGCGGGUUAUCAAGUCAGCGGUAAAAUCGUGGAGCUCAACUCCAUCCAGCCGUUGAAACUGAUGAUCUUGAGUGGGCGAGAAGUAUGCGGAAUGCGUGGUGUAGCGGUGAAAUGCAUAGAUAUCACGCAGAACUCCGAUUGCGAAGGCAGCAUACCGGCGCCCGACUGACGCUGAAGCACGAAAGCGUGGGUAUCGAACAGGAUUAGAUACCCGUGUAGUC
rnacentral:rRNA from 1 species